GUGCUCUCAGCAGGGGAGAUACAGGUUUCCCCAGGCUAAGGCCUGUCUGUUGCACUCCAUUCAGGCAUCAUGACCCCUGCAAGUUUCCCAAAUGUGAGAAACUCAACUGCACAGUCUUGUGGUGAUGGGGGACUGCAUUUGAGCUUUUCCCCG
ensembl:snRNA U1 U1 spliceosomal RNA